rnacentral:rRNA from 1 species
AUUGAACGCUGGCGGAAUGCUUUACACAUGCAAGUCGAGCGGCAGCGCGGGGCAACCUGGCGGCGAGCGGCGAACGGGUGAGUAAUACAUCGGAACGUACCCAGUUGUGGGGGAUAGCCAGGCGAAAGCAGGAUUAAUACAGCAUACGAACUGAGGGUGAAAGAGGGGGAUCGCAAGACCACUCGCAGUUGGAGCGGCCGAUGGCGGAUUAGCGAGUUGGUGGGGUAAAGGCCUACGAAGGCGACGAUCCGUAGCGGGUCUGAGAGGACGGCCCGCCACAGUGGAACGGAGACACGGGACAGACUCCAACGGGAGGCAGCAGUGGGGAAUUUUGGACAAUGGGGGCAACCCGGAUGCAGCCAUUCCGCGUGAGUGAAGAAGGCCUUCGGGUUGUAAAGCUCUUUCGGCAGAAACGAAGCGGUCUUUUCUAAUACAAGAGGCUAAUGACGGUACUUUAAGAAGAAGCACCGGCUAACUACGUGCCAGCCGCCGCGGUAA